rnacentral:rRNA from 1 species
CAGCAGCCGCGGGAAUACGAAGGGUGCAAGCGUUAAUCGGAAUUACUGGGCGUAAAGCGUGCGUAGGCGGUGAGUUAAGUCUGCUGUGAAAUCCCCGGGCUCAACCUGGGAAUGGCAGUGGAUACUGGCUCGCUAGAGUGUGUCAGAGGAUGGUGGAAUUCCCGGUGUAGCGGUGAAAUGCGUAGAGAUCGGGAGGAACAUCAGUGGCGAAGGCGGCCAUCUGGGACAACACUGACGCUGAGGCACGAAGGCGUGGGGAGCAAACAGGAUUAGAUACCCGCGUAGUCCCUGUCUCUUAUAC